CCUACGGGAGGCUGCAGUGAGGAAUAUUGGUCAAUGGACGAGAGUCUGAACCAGCCAAGUAGCGUGAAGGAUGACUGCCCUAUGGGUUGUAAACUUCUUUUAUAAAGGAAUAAAACGAGGCACGUGUGCCUUUUUGCAUGUACUUUAUGAAUAAGGAUCGGGUAACUCCGGGCCAGCAGCCGCGGUAAUACGGGGGGACCGGUCGUUAUCCGGAUUUAUUGGGGUUAAAGGGAGCGUAGAUGGGUUGUUAAGUCAGUUGUUAAAGUUUGCGGCUCAACCGUAAAAUUGCAAUUGAUACUGGCAGUCUUGAGUACAGUUGAGGUAGGCGGAAUUCGUGGUGUAGCGGUGAAAUGCUUAGAUAUCACGAAGAACCCCGAUUGCGAAGGCAGCUUACUAAACUGUGACUGACAUUGAUGCUCGAAAGUGUGGGUAUCAAACAGGAUUAGAUACCCCUGUAGUC
rnacentral:rRNA from 1 species